rnacentral:rRNA from 1 species
ACUCCUACGGGAGGCAGCAGUGGGGAAUAUUGCACAAUGGGCGCAAGCCUGAUGCAGCCAUGCCGCGUGUGUGAAGAAGGCCUUCGGGUUGUAAAGCACUUUCAGUUGUGAGGAAGGUGGUGUCGUUAAUAGCGGCAUCAUUUGACGUUAGCAACAGAAGAAGCACCGGCUAACUCCGUGCCAGCAGCCGCGGUAAUACGGAGGGUGCGAGCGUUAAUCGGAAUUACUGGGCGUAAAGCGCAUGCAGGUGGUUUGUUAAGUCAGAUGUGAAAGCCCGGGGCUCAACCUCGGAACUGCAUUUGAAACUGGCAGACUAGAGUACUGUAGAGGGGGGUAGAAUUUCAGGUGUAGCGGUGAAAUGCGUAGAGAUCUGAAGGAAUACCGGUGGCGAAGGCGGCCCCCUGGACAGAUACUGGACACUCAGAUGCGAAAGCGUGGGGAGCAAACAGGAUUAGAUACCCUGGUAGCACAGAG